GAGUUUGAUCCUGGCUCAGAUUGAACGCUGGCGGUAUGCAUAACACAUGCAAGUCGAACGGUAGCAGGCUCGGGAAACCGAGUGCUGACGAGUGGCGGACGGGUGAGUAAUGCGUAGGGAUUUGCCUAGUAGAGGGGGAUAACCUGGGGAAACUCAGGCUAAUACCGCAUAUGCCUAAGGGUGAAAGAGGGGGACCGUAAAAGGCCUCUUGCUACUGGAUGAACCUGCGUAGGAUUAGCUAGUUGGUAGG
rnacentral:rRNA from 1 species